rnacentral:rRNA from 1 species
UACAGAGGCCUCGAGCGUUAGGCGGAAUCACUGGGCUUAAAGCGUGUGUAGGCGGACCCCUAAGUGUCUUGUGAAAUCCCACGGCUCACCCGUGGAACCGCUGGGCAUACUGGGGGUCUUGGGCCAUUCAGGGGCAACUGGAACAAGCGGUGGAGCGGUGAAAUGCGUAGAUAUCGCUUGGAACGCCGACGGUGAAAACAGGUUGCUGGGAAUGUGCCGACGCUGAGACACGAAAGCCAGGGGAGCAAACGGG